GUGUCUACUUCUACUUUUGAGUAGACAAUUCUUCUUAGAGGGACUGGCAACUCUUAGUUGCACGAGAUUGAGCAAUAACAGGUCUGUGAUGCCCUUAGAUGUUCUGGGCCGCACACGCGCUACACUGAAUAGAUCAGCGUGUCACCCUUCGCGAAAGCGACGGGUAAACCGCUGAACCCUAUUCGUGGUAGGGAUCGGGGCUUGCAAUUAUUCCCCGUGAACCAGGAAUUCCCAGUAGGCGCAAGUCAUAAGCUUGCGUCGAUUACGUCCCUGCCCUUUGUACACACCGCCCGUCGCUACUACCGAUUGAACGUUUUAGUGAGGUCCUCGGACUGUGAGCCUGGCGGGUCAUUCUGCCUGGUCUGCGGGAAGACGACCAAACUGUAGCGUUUUAGAGGAAGUAAAAGUCGUAACAAGGUAUCCGUAGGUGA
rnacentral:rRNA from 1 species